rnacentral:rRNA from 1 species
UACGUAGGUGGCAAGCGUUGUCCGGAUUUAUUGGGCGUAAAGCGCGCGCAGGCGGCUAUGUAAGUCUGGUGUUAAAGCCCGGGGCUCAACCCCGGUUCGCAUCGGAAACUGUGUAGCUUGAGUGCAGAAGAGGAAAGCGGUAUUCCACGUGUAGCGGUGAAAUGCGUAGAGAUGUGGAGGAACACCAGUGGCGAAGGCGGCUUUCUGGUCUGUAACUGGCGCUGAGGCGCGAAAGCGUGGGGAGCAAACAGG